AUGAGGAGGACUACCUCCGCCUCCUCCAUAAACGGCGCCAUCUGUUCCCCUGCAACGAAUCCCGUCAAAAUCCUCGAGCUGGAGGUGACGCAGGUAGCAGAGGAGUUGACAAUGGUGAGCAUGAGACAUGGCAAUGCCCACAACGCCAUUGCAAAGGUGUGCGAGGCACUCGAGUCGCUCUGUCUCAAGGUGAUCUCGACAAGCAUCACUGCCGUGGCUAGUGGCAUCAUCCAUAACAUGUUCAUUGAGGGAUGUCACCACGUGAAUGGCAUCAAGUGUAUGUUGGAUUCCCAAUGA
rnacentral:rRNA from 1 species